UACAGAGGGUGCAAGCGUUAAUCGGAAUUACUGGGCGUAAAGCGAGCGUAGUCGGUUAUUUAAGUCGGAUGUGAAAUCCCCGGGCUCAACCUGGGAAUUGCAUUCGAUACUGGAUAGCUAGAGUUCGGCAGAGGGAAGCGGAAUUUCUGGUGUAGCGGUGAAAUGCGUAGAUAUCGGGAGGAACACCUGUGGCGAAGGCGGCCCCCCUGGUUGGAUACUGACGCUGAGACGCGAAAGCGUGGGGAGCGAACAGG
rnacentral:rRNA from 1 species